GUAGGGGCAAUGAAAUAGGUUGCUAGAAAAGUAUUCACUGAGAACUUAGUAGGUUAUUUUUGACAGUUGCAGGAGAGGAGUCAUGGGGGUAGAUGGAAACCCACUAACAGUUUAAUUGAUAUGCUUUCCUGAAGAAGUGUGUUUUCAAAGAUUUUUUGAAGGAGUGGAGACUGGGUAAAAGUCUAAUGGAGAAGGGAAGGGAGUUCCACAGAAAAGGUGCAGCCCUGGAGAAGUUUUGGAGGCGAGCAUCAAAUGUGGGAGUACAGACAGAGGGUAGACCCAGGUCUUCGGCAGAGCGCAGGGGCCUCGAUGGGACAUUUUUGUGUAUUAGGUAGGAUAGGUAGGAUGGAGCAGCAUUUUGUAGGGACUUGUAAACAAGCACCCGGAUCUUAAAGGGAAC